rnacentral:lncRNA from 1 species
GGCUGUCUAAUGAUCAAUUGUCAGGAGUGUUGUUUUAAAACUGAUGCAAACUUUCAAUUGAUGUGUUGUUUUCCUAUUUUUUUUAUGAGUUCAUACUUAUGGAUGAUAAUUGUCUAUCAAAGGGAGCUCCUAGAAAUUAAACUAAAGAUCACUUUUCUUUUAUGUUGAUUAUGGAUCUGAUGAAGUGUGUAAUUCUUGUGUGUCUGAUAGGAUGAUGCGAACUGUUGAUCUAAUUUGCAAGUCGUCUUUUUCUGUGUGGAGUUUACACUGUGCGUCCAAUUGUGCGUCCAGCUUUCCAUCUUUUAUCUCCCUAUAGUCAGUGGUUCCGACGCUGCUCUCUCUUCAUCGGAGGUUAUUAAAGAAGAGAAAAUGUCUGGUGAAGAUGCUGUUGGUGCUGUCUGGAGAAAAUGCAUUCAUGCUUCUGUUUUUGUUUUGAAUUUAAUGGCUUUUUGACCCUAUGAAUGAGCCCAUCCGAUUAUAAAUAUGUCCAAAUAAUUUGGACGUGUGAUAUCAGCAGCUUAUUAAUUCGGUAGUAAUAUCUUCAGACUUGGUAAAAAAAAAAGGAUUUUGAUGUGUAUGUGGUCAAGGAAAAUAGAAACGGUCAAACACCUUAAAUUUUGAAGGUUGAUUGAGUUGUUGACUUGUUGUCAUCGUCAUUUUUCUAAUUCAUGCUUGUUAAAUUUUGUGCUCAUUGCUUCU